AUAGAGAUGGGGUUUCACUAUGUUGGCCAGGCUGGUCUCAAACUCCUGACCUCAGGUGAUCCACCUGUCUUGGCCUCCCAAAAUGCUGGGAUUACAGGCAUGAGCCACCGUGCCCAGCCACAAUAUAGUAUCAUUAACUAGAGUCACCUGCUGCAUAUUAAAUCCCCAGAAUUACUCAUCCCAAAACUGAGAGUUUGUAUCCUUUGGCCAACAUUUCCUCAUUUCCCUCAUCCCCAGCCCCUGACAGCCACCAUUCUACUCUCUGCAUCUAUGAGUUUAUCUUAGAUUCCAUUAAGUGGGAUUAUGCAGUAUUUGUCUUUCUGUGUCUAGCUUAUUUCAUCUAGCAUAACGUCCUCCAGGCUCAUCUGCAUUAUCGCAAAUGGCAGAAUGUCCUCCCUUUUAUGGCUGAAUAAUAUUACAUUGUGUAUAUGUUGUCUAUAUGUGGAUAUAUAUGUAUACAAUAUAUAAUUGUGUGUGUAUAUAUGACACAAGUAUAUACAAAUAUAUGUAUAUGACGUGUGUGUGUGUGUGUGUGUGUGUGUAUAUAUAUAUAUAUGACAUUUUUUCUUUAUCCAUUCAUUCAUCAACAAACACUUAGGUUGAUCCUAUAUCUUGGCUAUUGUGAAUAAUUCUGCAAUGAAUAUAGGGGUACUCUUGACCUCAGAUGAUCCACCUGCCUCAGCCUCCAAAGUUCUGGGAUUACAGGCAUGAGCCACUGCACCAGGCCCAGAUAUCUUUUCUUUUCUUUUUCUUUUACUUUUUUUUUUUGAGAUGGGAGUCUCGCUCUGUUGCCCAGGCUGGAGUGCAGUGGCGCAAUCUUGGCUCACUGCAACCUCUGCCUCCCAGGUUCAAGAAAUUCUCCUGCCUCAGCCUUCCUAGUAGCUAGGAUUACAGGUGCCUGCUACCACGCUCGGCUAAUUUUUGUAUUUUUAGUAGAGAUGGGGUUUCACCAUAUUGGCCAGGGUGGUCUUGAACUCCUGACCCUGUGAUCCGCCCACCUCGGCCCCGCAAAGUGCUGGGAUUACAGGCGUGAGCCACUGCGCCCGGCCCGAUAUCUUUUCAAAAUACUGAUUUUGUUUCCUUUGGAUAUAUACCCAGUAGUGAGAUUGCGGGAUCAUAUGGUAGUUUUAUUUUCAAUUUCUUGAGGAACCUCCGUGCUGUGCUCCAUAAUGGCUGCACCAUUUUACUGCGUAUUCCCACCAACAGUGUACAAGCGUUCUCUUUUCUCCACACCCGCACCAACACUUAUCUCUUGUGUUUUUGAGAACAGCCAUCCUAACAGGUGUGAGGUGCUAUCUCCUUGUGGCUUUGAUUUGCACUUCCCUGAUGAUUAGCGAUGUGCACCUUUUCAUGUGCCUGUUGGCCAUUUGUAUUUCUUUGUUGGAAAAAUGUCUAUUCGGGUCUUUUUCUCAUUUUUUAAAUUGGGUUACUUGUCUUUUUGCUAUUGAGUUGUAUGAGUUACUCAUAUAUUUUGGAUAUUAACUCCUUAUCCGAUACAUGUUUUGCAAAUAUUUUCUCCCAUACCAUAGGCUGCCUUUUUGUUUUGUGGAUUAUUCCCUUUGCUGCGCAGAAGCUUUUCAGUUUGAUGCAGUCUCACUUAUUUUUGAUUCUGUUGCCUGUACUUCCGGUGUCAUAUCCGAAGAUUAAUUGCCAAGACCAAUGUAAAGGAGCCUUUCCCCUGUGUUUUCUUCUAGGGGUGUUACAGUUGCAGGUCUUACAUUGAAGUCUUCACAAAUACAUAUUUUUAAAAAGCAUUGAAAUAUUCAUCAUGAACAAAACGAAAACUUUCAUGAACUUUCUUAUGCCUAUUGUGUGCUUUGUUACUUGUUUAUUUGUAAUCAGAUGUGCAGGGAUAUAAAUUCUUUCCAGGUUCUAUGGCCUCUGAGGGUCUGGAUCCUCCCUCUGGGGUUUCUGCCUGGGGCUGGGGGUGAGCACUGAAAGCCCCCUUCAGGUCCUGACAGCUCGGCCUUCACAUUCUCAGAAGCCCUUCCUUCUCCCAUCAUUUGCAUCUCAUUAGCACCACCUCGAGCUGGUGGCAGCUUCGCCUGUCUGGAGCCCUGGGACGCAGGCUGCAGCCUGGCCCGGGCGCUGCUCCCAGCUGGAGAAGGGUGCAGCGAAGUGCUUUCCCCUCCCCCCUCCCCGCGUUCUCUGUCCCCACCCUCCCGCCCCACGUGCCGCAGCCACAGGGAGGGUGCAGGAGGACUCGGGGUGUGCCCGGCUCUCCGAACCCCCACCCAGGCUCGUGUCGCCUAGGCUCCUGCCGCGCGUUCCCAUGGCAACCGGGUGAUGGCGCGGGUCGCGGUGCCUGCCUAGGAGCCACACAGCCACCCAGCUCCCCGCCCCGCCGCCCAGGCCGGAUUGGUGACAGUCAGGGCCUCAAUCUCCCGAGAUGAUCGGCGAUAAUUGGUUUAUGGAAAUAGCUGAGCGGAGAAGGCGAGCUCCCCGCUAGAAACCAGCCUCCCUGCCAAGCCUGCUCCCACCACCUGUGCUUCCCUCACCACGGAAAUGGAGUUGGGGGAGGGAUGGCCGAGGAGCUGGGCUGGCACAAAUGGGGCUUUUAAGGCAAGUGUUUCACCUGUUGCUCUCGGCACAGCUUCUACCCCCCUUUCACAGUGGGGGCCCUGGGGGGGCAGGGACUUAUCAUAGUAACCAGGUGUUGGCCUCAGUCACUCCUUGGCUCCUAAGUUUGGGCUCAGGCCUAUGUUGGAUGCAUUGUUGAGGGAAAUGGAGGAGGAGAUCCGUCCUCAGGGAGCCCCAGAGGAGUGCAUAAACCAUGUUGAUAUAAAGUGCUUCAGACCAGGGUCACCACUGCUGUGGAGCUCCAGAAGAGGGAGAGCUCAACUCUGGUGGCUGCCUGGAGGAGGAGGCUUUGAAGGCAGGAUUUCAGCAGGCAUUGACCAAGGACCCCUGAGACACCAGCUCCUGUGCCUGUCCUAACCUCCCCCGAGAGCUGCUUCCUCCUUGCCUGUGAGAAGGCCUUAGCAGCAUGAGCCCAGCUGCUCUACCUUCUCCUCCCCUUCCUCCAGCAAGGACCCUGGCUGAUAUACCUGCUGUGUGAGCCCCUCUCCAUGGCCCAAUCUCUCGCCCCGCCUGAUGUCCUGGUAUUACUGCUGUCAUCGUCACCACCAGCCCCUUCACACCCCCAACUUUUAGUGAGCACUUACUGUGUGCCAGGUCUCAUGCCAAGAGUUGACCUGCGCCAUGUCAUUUCAUCCUCACAUUUACGCUCCCGGAGUUAUUGCUGUGAGUCUUUUCUUUUUUCUUUUUGAGACAGGGUCUCAUUCUGUCUCCCAGGCUGGAGUGCAGUGGCAUAAUCUCAGCUAACUGCAACCUCCGCCUCCUGGGUUCAAGUGAUUCUCCUGCCUCAGCCUCCCCAAUAGCUGGGAUUAUAGGCAUGCCACCACGCCCGGCUAAUUUUUUGUAUUUUCAGUAGAGACAAGGUUUCCCAUGUUGAUCAGGCUGGUCUCGAACUCCUGACCUCAAGUGAUCCACCCGCCUCAGCCUCCCAAAUUGCUGGGAUUACAGGCGUGAACCACCGCACCUGGCCAGAGUCCAUUUUUAAGGUGAGGACACAAAUGCUCUGAGGGAAUGGACUUGCCCAAGGUCACACGGCUUUGAGGCGGCACAGCUGGGAUUUGACUCCAGGCCUGCUGGCUCCAAAGUCCGAGAUCAUUACCACCAAACCACGCUGCCUUUUCCUUUCACUCUGGGAAAGGAGUCGCAGCUCUCCUUUCCUCUCUCCAGAAACUGGGGCAGCAUGAAAAAUUCAAGACCAGAGAUGAAAACACCUGGCCUUUUGAAUGAGGCCAGACCAAUGGCUCUGCGGCAGUGCAGCCUGCAGACACUGGUGUCAAAGGAGAUUGAGGUGGUGUGCCCCAGAGGCUCAGCUGGGCAUGGCUGGCCGGCCCCCAUAAGCAAGGGCAGAGCCAGGGGGCCUGGAGGACAUCACUUCUAUCCAGCACAGAGGGGCUGCAGGGCUGUUUGAUUAUGAGGGCUGGUGGGGUCAUAACACCCCAGACUGUGACUCUAUCACUAAUGUAGCUCGCUCCCAUUUCCAGCUAAGCCUGUUAGAUGCAGGCUGCUGUCUUUAGGGUCUGCUUGCUGAGUGGGCCAGGGUGGGAUCCUGGAGGCUCUGGGGGCCUGCCCUUCUGACCUUUCCCUGGUUGCUUGCCGUGCAGAGGUGACUUCUAUCAGCUCAGUAAACGGCUACUGGGCUAAACCCUUGUGUAUCUGUGUUUUGUCUCAGAGCAGACUUUGUGAUAGUCCUGACCCUCUCUUGCUGCACCUAGUUCUUGUGGGCUCUGGUCACCACCAAAUAGGCAAAAAGAUUUGGCAGCAAAGAAAAAAAGCAUGAUGACUUGGAAUCUGUCAGGCCUGGCUCUAACCCUGGUUCUGCCAGGCACCGGAGUGAGGGUUUGGGCAAACCCCCUGAUCCCUCAGAGCCUCCCAUUCCUCAUCUGCAGAGCAGGUCUACCAGCAGGCUCUGUGCAGGGUGGUGGCGAGGAUUAGAUAAGAGAAUGGAUGCCUUCACAUGGUAGGCAGCCCCACAGUGAGCUUUCCCUCACACUUACACCAAUGUAUGCCAAGAUGGAGCACCUCUGGCCCAAGCUUUGGCAACAGGAGACUUGGGGGUGACGAGUAGAGUGUGAUGUUCUCGUUGUUGGACAACGCGGCUUCCAUUUGCUUAGCAGGCACGUUUAUGGAUUGCCAUGUUGAAGGAUUCCUCUUGGCAUUUGGCAACCACAGCUCUCAUUUGGGGCGGCCCAGCUCCCUCCAUCAUGUCAUAAAUCACUUUGCUAAAGAUGCAACGUUGCUUUUGGGCAUUUUUCUUUUGAAAAAUCAAUAACUCGUGUAACAAGGGACUGAAUAAAGGAGUGAGCAAUGAAGCUGCCUGCCAUUUCCUUCCAUCAGGAGGGGCAGAAGCAGUGCUCUGCCAAGGUUGGGUGGGGGGUCUACUCAGAGGGCAGAGAGGCCUUGGGGUGGGGACAAUAGGCUCAACCUGUUUCCAGCAAACCUGUGUCCCCUCACCCCAACUCUUCCAACCUCCAAAUCUGACCAAGGCCCUCCUCUGCUUCAAAAAA
rnacentral:tRNA from 10 species